rnacentral:rRNA from 1 species
AUGAGGAUUCCUGUAGAGAUUGCCAAAGGUAGCACUAUUGAUGAUCACAAAGAGGAGAUAUUCCAAAUUCUUCAGGGAGAUAGAAGGGUCAUAUAUUUUCAUGGUUGGGAUGGAAUCGGGGCAUCUGUUUUCCUUAGAUCCAUAGCAGAAGUGCUCUCAUCUACGAGAAGCACCCCGGAACUAUGCUUUGAUAGAAUAAUUCAUAUAGAUUGUUCUGAUUGGAAAAAUAGAAGAGGAUUGCAGAGGGCAAUCGCAGAGGAACUGGAGCUUGAAAGCUCAAUAAUGGAUGUUCUUGAUAAGGAGGAUGAAGAGGAUGAUUUUUACGGAGUUGAUGAAAGCUCUAGGAAAGAGAUAAAAAGUGUGUCAACAGAGAUCAAUAAUAUUCUGAUAAACAGCAGAUUUGCAUUGAUUUUUCACAAUGGUAGUGACAACGAGGUUGCUGACCUACUCAACUGUGGUGUUCCUUGGAUUACAAGUUUUAGUAACAAUGUGAUGAUAUGGACCCACAAAAGAAGGAUGUUGACCAUAAAAAAAUACGAACAAGAUGAACUACUACAUGAACUGAGGUACACUCAUCUUUUUGUUUAUGAUAGGAUGGAGUAUCUAGCAAGUGGACAGUUGUAUGCACUACUGUGUAAAGAGGCUGACAUCAUAGUUGCUUGCAAUCCAUGCAUCCAAGGAGUCAAUCAAACAAUGGUUGUCAAUUGUUCUUUGUACAAACUAUUCCUGCAAUGUAGUAUUUCCAAGAAUAAUUCUAAUUGGGUUGAUGUUGCAUCCAACUAUUGGAUAUGUGAUGGAAUACUAGAAAAAGAUAUAACAUUGGAGACAAGUGUUGCAUUGCACAGAGAAAUAACCUGGAAUUGUGAUGAUAAUGUGCUCACAAAGUUGAAGAGACAUUUCGAGCUUCCUUUCCUCAUAGUGAAAGAAAAUGAUGUGUAUGAAGAAGGAUCAUACCGUUGGAUUUCAGUCACAUCGAAGGAUAGAGAAAUGCUUGGUAUGAAAACUUUACCUGCAGAGACAUCAUCAUUCUUCUUGGAAUUUGUAAUGUCCGAUCAGCCAACAAUGUUACCAAAUGGUUUGUUUGAACAUUCCAACAACCUUGGUGUGCUAUUCCUCUGUUGUUGUGCCUUCAAUUUUGCAUCACCUCCUUUCUUAAAAUGCCAUAGCCUAAGAUUCCUUGGUCUGGACAACUGUACAAAUGACAAAACAGGUGAAGGAAAGGAUCAUACUGAGUGGGUUUGUCUGCAUAGCUUAUGGGUGUUGGACCUACGCUACACUGACUGGAAUGAAAUCUUAUCACCGGCAAAGAUGGACCUCAUGGAUAACCUCGUGGAGCUAAGCAUGGAGGGGGUCUGGUGUUGGCAGUACACAACUUGCUUACCAGGGCGACUACCUAACCUUCAAAGGCUCAGGGUAAUCAAGCCUACAAGUGGACCAGAUAUUUCACCAGACGCAUGCAACUCCUUCAUGGACAAGGCAAAGCUGGAAAUACUUGACCUGUCUGGCAACAAUGAGAUGGAAAUUCUACCAAACAGCCUAUCUAAGGCAAGUGUCCUUCAAGUGCUUAUUCUGGAUGGAUGCAACAAUGUUAAAAAUGUCCUUGUGCCUGAUGGGCUACCCCAGUUGCUGAAGUCCUUUAGUUUUGAUGGUUAUGGGCCAGCUUUCCACCGAGCGCCAAUUGUUAAGCUACCUCCCAAACAAGAACGCCCAUCAACUCCAGCAAUUAAGGAGGGUGCUAGUGUCUCUAAUAUUUCCCUCAAAGGUUGCUCACAAUUGGCACAUAUGUUCGUGCGUGGGUUGCCCAACCUCGUUGAGCUUGACCUCUCUGGAACUGCAAUUAGGACACUUGAUUUCACUACUAUGGUGGUAGAAGUUCCAAUGCUGAAGCGAUUAUUUCUGCUAGGAUGUGAGCACCUUCGUGCAAUAAUUUGGGACAGGGAUAGUGAUAGCUUCCGUUUGAAAUUGUUAUGCAUAGAUACGCGAGCUGGAACUGGCUUUCUUCGACCGUGCAUUGACCAGAACAAAUCGUUUCAGCUGGAGGUGCACGCCAUUGUUGUGGAUGCGAGGCUUGCUCGGUCGUUGUGGCUACUAUUAUAUAAUCAUUAUGCAGCUGAGGAUGUUUAUCUUAGUAUCCAUGUCACCUCAGCUGUGUAUAGUGGGCCAAAUCAAUCCAAAGUGACAUACAAAGAGAAGAAGAUUGACAUAUAUGGAGAUCAAGUCAGCCUGCCGCAGCUUGUUCAAGCAGACAGAUACAGUGAUGUUCAAAGCAUGGUUGGUGAUAUCCCGAUGCGGGCCUUCCCUAAGCCUCCGACUAACAACCUGGAUCGGCAAAUCGAGAUUUCUAAAAGGGUGGCAUGUCAUGGACAGUGGACUGCGAGAUGUCAUGAAGCGGUUUGCCGAAUCCCUGCAUGUCCAUGA